AUGACAUAAACAAAAGCCGGAUAAUAAAAACAAUAGUUUAAAAUUCAAACAGUUUGGCGGUGUCUUAUAUAAUCAGGGGAACCUGUCUCUUAAUUCGAUGAUCCACGUAAUAAACCUUAUUUAGCAUUCAGCCUGUGUACUGCUGUCGUCAGUAAACCUCUAUAAGAGUUUACAAACAUGAAAAACAAUUACGUCAAGUCAAAGUGCAGCCGAUAAUAAGGUGAUGAUGGGUUACAAUCUAUAAACAGAUUACUUAAAUAUAUAUUAAUUAUAUAAAAAAAGGUGGACUUGAUAGUAAUAACUAUUCAUGUUAUGAAAUAGAAUCUAAGACAUGCACACAUCGCCCGUCACUCUCGUC
rnacentral:rRNA from 1 species